GACGAACGCUGGCGGCGUGCUUAACACAUGCAAGUCGAACGAUGAAGCGGGUGCUUGCACUCGUGGAUUAGUGGCGAACGGGCGAGUAACACGUGAGUAACCUGUCCUUUUCUUUGGGAUAACGGCUGGAAACGGCUGCUAAUACUGGAUAUUCAGGCUGCAUCGCAUGGUGUGGUUUGGAAAGGUUUUUUCUGGGAUUGGGUGGGCUCGCGGCCUAUCCGCUUGUUGGUGGGGUGAUGGCUUACCAAGGCUUUGACGGGUAGCCGGCCUGAGAGGGUGGGCGGUCGCACUGGGACUGAGAUACGGCCCAGACUCCUACGGGAGGCAGCAGUGGGGAAUAUUGCACAAUGGACGAAAGUUUGAUGCAGCGACGCCGCGUGGAGGGUGUAGGCCUUCGGGUUGUGAACUCCUUUUUCUCGCGAAAAAGGCACAGUUUUGGCUGUGUUGAUGGUAGUGGGAGAAGAAGCGCCGGCUAACUACGUG
rnacentral:rRNA from 1 species